UAUCUCUGUAGAGUCUGCAUAUCAAUAAGCGGAGGAAAAGAAACUAACAAGGAUUCCCUUAGUAACGGCGAGUGAAGCGGGAAGAGCUCAAAUUUGAAAUCUUCAAGGUUUUACCUUGACGAAUUGUAGUUUAAAGAAGUGUUUUCUGUUGAAGUUUCGGUAAAAGUUCUUUGGAAUAGGACAUCAUAGAGGGUGAGAAUCCCGUAUUUGACCGUUAUUUUCAGCUGUGUGAUACACUUUCAAAGAGUCGGAUUGUUUGGGAAUGCAGUCCAAAAUGGGUGGUAAAUUUCAUCUAAAGCUAAAUAUUGGCGAGAGACCGAUAGCGAACAAGUACCGUGAGGGAAAGAUGAAAAGAACUUUGAAAAGAGAGUUAAACAGUACGUGAAAUUGUCAAAAGGGAAGCGUUUGACACCAGUGUUGUUUUCUCGAAAAUCAAUUAAAAAUGGCUUGAUUUUGUGUUGUAUUGACCUUAAAAGCUUUCUGCACUUUUUUCAUGUCCUUUUUAAUGCACUUUUCGUUUAACAAGUCAACAUCAGUUUCUUUUGUUGUAAAAAGGUCAUUGGAAGGUGGCUUUCUUUUCGGAGAAAGUGUUUAUAGCCUUUGACUCCUGCAAUCGGAGAGACUGAGGUCUGCAGCGUAGAUCCUUCUUGGAUUAGAUUCAUUUGUGCUAAGUUAUAGCUUUUUAUAGACAACUUGUUGACUAUAUUUAGUCUUGUAGCUUACUCGCUUAUGCAAUUUUACCUACGCUUAGGAUGUUGAACGCGCACAGAGUCUC
rnacentral:rRNA from 1 species